CCCUUAGAUGUUCUGGGCCGCACGCGCGCUACACUGAUGCAUUCAACGAGUCUAAAACCUGGUCUGAUAGGGCUGGGUAAUCUUUUGAAUGUGCAUCGUGAUUGGGAUAGAUGAUUGCAAUUCUUCAUCUUCAACGAGGAAUGCCUAGUAAACGCAAGUCAUCAGCUUGCAUUGAUUACGUCCCUGCCCUUUGUACACACCGCCCGUCGCUCCUACCGAUUGAAUGUUCCGAUGAAUACCAUGGACUGAGAGUAUGAAUGGGUUCGCCUAUUUCUGCUUCUUGGGAAGUGGAGUAAAUCUUAACAUUUAGAGGAAGGAGAAGUCGUAACA
rnacentral:rRNA from 1 species